AGGUAUUCAUUAAGGCUGUCUUACAAGCCAUAUCGACAUAUUCUAUGUCUUUCUUUUUACUCCCAAAAUCACUAUGCAAUGAAAUGGAGGGCAUUGUUGCAAAAUAUUGGUGGAAAAAAGGUCGUGGAAAGGGGGAAUUCACUGGUGUAUUUGGAAAAAUCUUUUCAUUUUGAAAGAAAACGGAGGUUUGGGAUUUCGAAAUCUUAGCCAGUUCAACAUUGCGUUGUUAGCCAAACAGGGCUGGCAUCUUUUUAAUUACCCAAAGUCUCUUUUAGCCAGAGUUCUUUAAAGAAAAAUAUUAUCUGCGCUCAAACUUUCUAAAUGCAUAGUUGGGAAACUCAUCUUCUCUUACUUAGAAGAGCAUUUGGGCAACGAAGGGCCUCCUUCUCAAAGGACUAAGCUGGAGAGUUGGUAGGGGAAAUGCAAACUCAAUUUGGAAUGACCGAUGGAUACCAGGGAUCGAGCCUGAGAUAUUGCAGAACAGAGGAGACAAUGGCUAGCUGGAAUUAGUAUUUGAUAUAAUCGACAGUACAAAUAAAACGUGGAAAACGGAGUUAAUUACAACUACCUUUCAAAUGGAUAUUGCUCAAAGAAUUUUGCAGAUUCCUCUUGGAUAGCAGACUGUGAAGACUUACAAGUGUGGAAAGGUGAACAUUCUGGCGAGUUUUCAGUACGAAGCGCCUACAAACUAUUGCAAGAUGCUAGCUUGGAUCCUAGUAGCUAUUUAGUACAGGCCGAAACUAAAGAUUUCUACAUAAAGUUGUAGAAUUUACAAUUACCAAAAAAAAUUUAAUUCUUAUUUGGCGGAUCUCUUGGAACUAUAUUCCUACGCUAGUUAAUCUUAGAUACAAAAGAGUGACUACAAAUGCUAGUUGUCUUUGUUGCUGCUCCGAGGAAGAAGACAGCUACCACGUGUUUCGGCAAUAUCCUACAAGCAACGAAGUAUGGAAUAGUCUUAAUAUGACUUGGGUAACAGCACACAGAUCAAAAUACAUAGACAUAACUUAUCUGGGUUUUUGGAAGGGGCACCAAAAAGCAGAUCCGAAUGUUCUGCUGCGCUUUAUGGGUUAUUUGGGGCUCGCGAAAUCAAAUGGUUCAUGAAAGGAAAAUCACAUCAGGUAAGGACCUUUUACACAAAAUACAAAGUUACUUAAUGGAACUUGAAGGAGUGAGUGAAAAAAAUCGUACCUUUAAGUCUGCUAAAACUCAAAGACAAUGUGAGGAGUCAAUAAGGGAGACAAUACAGUUCGAUGCAGCUUUUGAUAUUAGAAACUCCAGAUCGACUUCAAGACUAGUUGUUCGAAACCUUAAAGCUUCAAAAUCGAUUCUUCAUUCCAACGUCUUGUCUCCAUUUGUAGCAGAGGCAUUUGCAUGUUUACAAGCAACCAAGUUAGGCAUCGAAAUGGGAUUAGGCUCAGUUACAAUUAUGGGGGACUCGAAAUCAGUUAUUAAAAAAUUCCAAAUGACGGAUCGGGAUAGAUCUAUUAUUGGAGCUAUUAUUAAAGAUAUUCAGAGCAGCAAAUCUAGUUUUCAAGAAAUUGCCUUCAGGUUUAUUCAAAGAUCAGAGAACCUUCAAGACCACAAAACAGCAAAGGAAGCAUUAGAGAAAAGGGAAGAGUUAUACCUGGUGGGAGAGACGUUGAAAUGCAAUGAAACUACUCCAGAAGAAAGAUGGCCACAAAAUUCGGGCUGAAGAUGUGGAAGGUGAAAUGAAACGGAAAAGGUAGCAAAUAAAAAUAGAUAUUUUGGAAACUGCUAUCAUUUGAACAGACUUGAUGUUCUGACAUGAAAAGGCAAAAAUGAUAAUGGCGUCCAGGCUAUUGAGUUGGCUGGGAAAUGACUAUCGGUUUACUUUCUUUUAGCUUCUUUAGUAUGUAAUUUCUGUUUAUUUCCUUAGCUUAAGUAUUCAGUGGGCUAAUCAUUUAAGAUAAAAAUAUAGCCCAUGUUUUAAUUAGCUGCCCAUUCCAGCAAAACUGAGCCCAAUAUUCUUUGGAUUGUAGUUGUUUGUUUUUCUUCUUUUCAUUUUCAAUUAAUAAUAUCCUAGCCAAUUUUUUUCAAAAAAAAAAUCAAAUGGACCACAUUUUUUGUGAUGUUUGUUUUCUUUGAAAGUAUUAUUAAUUUUUAGUCAUGUUCUGGUAUACAUGUGAG
rnacentral:lncRNA from 1 species